GCGACCCCAGGUCAAGCGGGACUA
rnacentral:rRNA from 1 species